UAAGCGACUAAGCGUACACGGUGGAUGCCCUGGCAGUCAGAGGCGAUGAAGGACGUGCUAAUCUGCGAUAAGCGUCGGUAAGGUGAUAUGAACCGUUAUAACAGGCGAUUUCCGAAUGGGGAAACCCAGUGUGAUUCGUCACACUAUCAUUAACUGAAUCCAUAGGUUAAUGAGGCGAACCGGGGGAACUGAAACAUCUAAGUACCCCGAGGAAAAGAAAUCAACCGAGAUUCCCCCAGUAGCGGCGAGCGAACGGGGAGCAGCCCAGAGCCUGAAUCAGUGUGUGUGUUAGUGGAAGCGUCUGGAAAGGCGCGCGAUACAGGGUGACAGCCCCGUACACAAAAAUGCACAUGCUGUGAGCUCGAUGAGUAGGGCGGGACACGUGGUAUCCUGUCUGAAUAUGGGGGGACCAUCCUCCAAGGCUAAAUACUCCUGACUGACCGAUAGUGAACCAGUACCGUGAGGGAAAGGCGAAAAGAACCCCGGCGAGGGGAGUGAAAAAGAACCUGAAACCGUGUACGUACAAGCAGUGGGAGCACGCUUAGGCGUGUGACUGCGUACCUUUUGUAUAAUGGGUCAGCGACUUAUAUUCUGUAGCAAGGUUAACCGAAUAGGGGAGCCGAAGGGAAACCGAGUCUUAACUGGGCGUUAAGUUGCAGGGUAUAGACCCGAAACCCGGUGAUCUAGCCAUGGGCAGGUUGAAGGUUGGGUAACACUAACUGGAGGACCGAACCGACUAAUGUUGAAAAAUUGCGGAUGACUUGUGGCUGGGGGUGAAAGGCCAAUCAAACCGGGAGAUAGCUGGUUCUCCCCGAAAGCUAUUUAGGUAGCGCCUCGUGAAUUCAUCUCCGGGGGUAGAGCACUGUUUCGGCAAGGGGGUCAUCCCGACUUACCAACCCGAUGCAAACUGCGAAUACCGGAGAAUGUUAUCACGGGAGACACACGGCGGGUGCUAACGUCCGUCGUGAAGAGGGAAACAACCCAGACCGCCAGCUAAGGUCCCAAAGUCAUGGUUAAGUGGGAAACGAUGUGGGAAGGCCCAGACAGCCAGGAUGUUGGCUUAGAAGCAGCCAUCAUUUAAAGAAAGCGUAAUAGCUCACUGGUCGAGUCGGCCUGCGCGGAAGAUGUAACGGGGCUAAACCAUGCACCGAAGCUGCGGCAGCGACGCUGAUGCGUUGUUGGGUAGGGGAGCGUUCUGUAAGCCUGUGAAGGUGUGCUGUGAGGCAUGCUGGAGGUAUCAGAAGUGCGAAUGCUGACAUAAGUAACGAUAAAGCGGGUGAAAAGCCCGCUCGCCGGAAGACCAAGGGUUCCUGUCCAACGUUAAUCGGGGCAGGGUGAGUCGACCCCUAAGGCGAGGCCGAAAGGCGUAGUCGAUGGGAAACAGGUUAAUAUUCCUGUACUUGGUGUUACUGCGAAGGGGGGACGGAGAAGGCUAUGUUGGCCGGGCGACGGUUGUCCCGGUUUAAGCGUGUAGGCUGGUUUUCCAGGCAAAUCCGGAAAACUAAGGCUGAGGCGUGAUGACGAGGCACUACGGUGCUGAAGCAACAAAUGCCCUGCUUCCAGGAAAAGCCUCUAAGCAUCAGGUAACAUCAAAUCGUACCCCAAACCGACACAGGUGGUCAGGUAGAGAAUACCAAGGCGCUUGAGAGAACUUGGGUGAAGGAACUAGGCAAAAUGGUGCCGUAACUUCGGGAGAAGGCACGCUGAUAUGUAGGUGAAGUCCCUCGCGGAUGGAGCUGAAAUCAGUCGAAGAUACCAGCUGGCUGCAACUGUUUAUUAAAAACACAGCACUGUGCAAACACGAAAGUGGACGUAUACGGUGUGACGCCUGCCCGGUGCCGGAAGGUUAAUUGAUGGGGUUAGCGCAAGCGAAGCUCUUGAUCGAAGCCCCGGUAAACGGCGGCCGUAACUAUAACGGUCCUAAGGUAGCGAAAUUCCUUGUCGGGUAAGUUCCGACCUGCACGAAUGGCGUAAUGAUGGCCAGGCUGUCUCCACCCGAGACUCAGUGAAAUUGAACUCGCUGUGAAGAUGCAGUGUACCCGCGGCAAGACGGAAAGACCCCGUGAACCUUUACUAUAGCUUGACACUGAACAUUGAGCCUUGAUGUGUAGGAUAGGUGGGAGGCUUUGAAGUGUGGACGCCAGUCUGCAUGGAGCCGACCUUGAAAUACCACCCUUUAAUGUUUGAUGUUCUAACGUUGACCCGUAAUCCGGGUUGCGGACAGUGUCUGGUGGGUAGUUUGACUGGGGCGGUCUCCUCCUAAAGAGUAACGGAGGAGCACGAAGGUUGGCUAAUCCUGGUCGGACAUCAGGAGGUUAGUGCAAUGGCAUAAGCCAGCUUGACUGCGAGCGUGACGGCGCGAGCAGGUGCGAAAGCAGGUCAUAGUGAUCCGGUGGUUCUGAAUGGAAGGGCCAUCGCUCAACGGAUAAAAGGUACUCCGGGGAUAACAGGCUGAUACCGCCCAAGAGUUCAUAUCGACGGCGGUGUUUGGCACCUCGAUGUCGGCUCAUCACAUCCUGGGGCUGAAGUAGGUCCCAAGGGUAUGGCUGUUCGCCAUUUAAAGUGGUACGCGAGCUGGGUUUAGAACGUCGUGAGACAGUUCGGUCCCUAUCUGCCGUGGGCGCUGGAGAACUGAGGGGGGCUGCUCCUAGUACGAGAGGACCGGAGUGGACGCAUCACUGGUGUUCGGGUUGUCAUGCCAAUGGCACUGCCCGGUAGCUAAAUGCGGAAGAGAUAAGUGCUGAAAGCAUCUAAGCACGAAACUUGCCCCGAGAUGAGUUCUCCCUGACUCCUUGAGAGUCCUGAAGGAACGUUGAAGACGACGACGUUGAUAGGCCGGGUGUGUAAGCGCAGCGAUGCGUUGAGCUAACCGGUACUAAUGAACCGUGAGGCUUAACCU
rnacentral:rRNA from 1 species